rnacentral:rRNA from 1 species
GAUGAACGCUAGCUACAGGCCUAACACAUGCAAGUCGAGGGGCAUCAGGGCCAGCACUGAAAAAGGCUUGCGUUCAUUGGUUGGCUACCGGCGCACGGGUGAGUAACACGUAUCCAACCUGCCCUUUACUCGGGGAUAGCCUUUCGAAAGAAAGAUUAAUACCCGAUGGCAUAAUGAUUCCGCAUGGUUUCAUUAUUAAAGGAUUCCGGUAAAGGAUGGGGAUGCGUUCCAUUAGGUUGUUGGUGAGGUAACGGCUCACCAAGCCUUCGAUGGAUAGGGGUUCUGAGAGGAAGGUCCCCCACAUUGGAACUGAGACACGGUCCAAACUCCUACGGGAGGCAGCAGUGAGGAAUAUUGGUCAAUGGGCGCUAGCCUGAACCAGCCAAGUAGCGUGAAGGAUGAAGGCUCUAUGGGUCGUAAACUUCUUUUAUAUAAGAAUAAAGUGCAGUAUGUAUACUGUUUUGUAUGUAUUAUAUGAAUAAGGAUCGGCUAACUCCGUGCCAGCAGCCGCGGUAAUACGGAGGAUCCGAGCGUUAUCCGGAUUUAUUGGGUUUAAAGGGAGCGUAGGUGGACUGGUAAGUCAGUUGUGAAAGUUUGCGGCUCAACCGUAAAAUUGCAGUUGAUACUGUCAGUCUUGAGUACAGUAGAGGUGGGCGGAAUUCGUGGUGUAGCGGUGAAAUGCUUAGAUAUCACGAAGAACUCCGAUUGCGAAGGCAGCUCACUGGACUGCAACUGACACUGAUGCUCGAAAGUGUGGGUAUCAAACAGGAUUAGAUACCCUGGUAGUCCACACAGUAAACGAUGAAUACUCGCUGUUUGCGAUAUACAGUAAGCGGCCAAGCGAAAGCAUUAAGUAUUCCACCUGGGGAGUACGCCGGCAACGGUGAAACUCAAAGGAAUUGACGGGGGCCCGCACAAGCGGAGGAACAUGUGGUUUAAUUCGAUGAUACGCGAGGAACCUUACCCGGGCUUAAAUUGCAGUGGAAUGAUGUGGAAACAUGUCAGUGAGCAAUCACCGCUGUGAAGGUGCUGCAUGGUUGUCGUCAGCUCGUGCCGUGAGGUGUCGGCUUAAGUGCCAUAACGAGCGCAACCCUUAUCUUCAGUUACUAACAGGUCAUGCUGAGGACUCUGGAGAGACUGCCGUCGUAAGAUGUGAGGAAGGUGGGGAUGACGUCAAAUCAGCACGGCCCUUACGUCCGGGGCUACACACGUGUUACAAUGGGGGGUACAGAAGGCAGCUAGCGGGUGACCGUAUGCUAAUCCCAAAAUCCUCUCUCAGUUCGGAUCGAAGUCUGCAACCCGACUUCGUGAAGCUGGAUUCGCUAGUAAUCGCGCAUCAGCCACGGCGCGGUGAAUACGUUCCCGGGCCU